rnacentral:rRNA from 1 species
AAGUAGUGAAUUCCGUUAUGUGGAACCCGUUGCGGAAGGGAAUUCACUGUACGCGGAAUU